ACGCUCGACACCUACUGGAGGCAGCAGUAGGGAAUCUUCCACAAUGGACGCAAGUCUGAUGGAGCAACGCCGCGUGAGUGAAGAAGGUUUUCGGAUCGUAAAGCUCUGUUGUUGGUGGAGAAGGAUAGAGGUAGUAACUGGCCUUUAUUUGACGGUAAUCAACCAGAAAGUCACGGCUAACUACGUGCCCGCAGCCGCGGUAAUCUGAGCGGGCUGGCAAGGC
rnacentral:rRNA from 1 species